rnacentral:lncRNA from 10 species
UUCUGUGGUUUUUAGAAAUGCAUACAGUUCUGGAACCACCAUCACAGUCAAGCUGUGAAACAUUUCCAUCACCCCAUAUGUUACUGCUCUUACCAGAGUCUUCAGCCCCUCAAGCAACUGUGAAAUUGGUAGGAAGGGGUUCUGCCCCAGGACAACACUGACCUUCCUCUGUUUCCUCCUCAGGAUUACCGCUGGUGGUGGAGAAAUUUCCUAGUCUCCGGGGGCUCUGCAUUCUACGUCCUGGUUUAUGCCAUCUUUUAUUUCGUUAACAAGCUGGACAUCGUGGAGUUCAUCCCCUCUCUCCUCUACUUUGGCUACACGGCCCUCAUGGUCUUGUCCUUCUGGCUGCUAACGGGUACCAUCGGCUUCUAUGCAGCCUACAUGUUUGUUCGCAAGAUCUAUGCUGCUGUGAAGAUAGACUGAUUGGAGUGGACCACGGCCAAGCUUGCUCCGUCCUCGGACAGGAAGCCACCCUGCGUGGGGGACUGCAGGCACGCAAAAUAAAAUAACUCCUGCUCGUUUGGAAUGUAACUCCUGGCACAGUGUUCCUGGAUCCUGGGGCUGCG